GAUGAACGCUGGCUACAGGCUUAACACAUGCAAGUCGAGGGGAAACGACGGGGAAGCUUGCUUCCCCGGGCGUCGACCGGCGCACGGGUGAGUAACGCGUAUCCAACCUGCCUCUGACUGAGGGAUAACCCGUCGAAAGUCGGCCUAAUACCUCAUGGCAUCGUCUGCGGGCAUCCAACGACGAUUAAAGAUUUCAUCGGUCAGGGAUGGGGAUGCGUCUGAUUAGCUUGUUGGCGGGGUAACGGCCCACCAAGGCUACGAUCAGUAGGGGUUCUGAGAGGAAGGUCCCCCACAUUGGAACUGGGACACGGUCCAAACUCCUACGGGAGGCAGCAGUGAGGAAGAUUGGUCAAGGGGCGGGAGCCUGAACCAGCCAAGUAGCGUGCAGGAUGACGGCCCUAUGGGUUGUAAACUGCUUUUAUGCGGGGAUAAAGUGAGGGACGUGUCCUUCAUUGCAGGUACCGCAUGAAUAAGGACCGGCUAAUUCCGUG
rnacentral:rRNA from 1 species